rnacentral:rRNA from 1 species
UACGUAGGGUGCAAGCGUUGUCCGGAAUUAUUGGGCGUAAAGAGCUCGUAGGCGGUUUGUCGCGUCUGCUGUGAAAACCCGAGGCUCAACCUCGGGCCUGCGGUGGGUACGGGCAGACUAGAGUGAUGUAGGGGAGACUGGAAUUCCUGGGUGUAGCGGUGAAAUGCGCAGAUAAUCAGGAGGAACACCGAUGGCGAAGGCAGGGUCUCUGGGCAAUUAACUGACGCUGAGGAGCGAAAAGCAUGGGGAGCGAACAGGA